rnacentral:lncRNA from 1 species
GAGGGGGUAAUUUUCGAAGAGUAUAGCACAGCGGAAUUAGAACUCAGAGAGCAUAAAGCGUAUUAGGUCACAGUUGAAAUGAUUUUGGCCCUUUUUAGAAAAGUAAUUUUCUUUCAAAAAAUUAACCAAACAGUUGAUGUGCGUUAAAUCAAAUAAGUGUAGGGAGUAGAAAAAUCACACAGAUAUUUUUAUACUGGUUCGAUUCAACAGAAUCUACGUCCCGUUGUUAAUCACUACAAGUAGUGAUUAACAGUUCCACUAAAAUUGGUUUAAUAGAUUACAAACAGAUUAACAGAAAUAGAACGAAAAGAAC